UGGGGAAUAUUGGACAAUGGGGGCAACCCUGAUCCAGCAAUGCCGCGUGUGUGAAGAAGGCCUUCGGGUUGUAAAGCACUUUUAUCGGGAAAGAAACACUGUCGGCUAAUACCCCGGCGGGACUGACGGUACCCGAUGAAUAAGCACCGGCUAACUCCGUGCCAGCAGCCGCGGUAAUACGGAGGGUGCAAGCGUUAAUCGGAAUUACUGGGCGUAAAGCGUGCGUAGGUGGUUCGUUAAGUCCGUUGUGAAAGCCCCGAGCUCAACUUGGGAAUUGCAGUGGAUACUGGCGAGCUGGAGUGCGGUAGAGGAAGGUGGAAUUCCCGGUGUAGCGGUGAAAUGCGUAGAGAUCGGAGGAACACCAGUGGCGAAGGCGGCCUUCUGGACCAGCACUGACACUCAAGCACGAAAGCGUGGGGAGCAAACAGGAUUAGAUACCC
rnacentral:rRNA from 1 species